AUUGAACGCUGGCGGCAGGCCUAACACAUGCAAGUCGAACGCGUGGCGGACGGGUGAGUAAUGUCUGGGACUGCGCCAGAUGGAGGGGGAUCACCUCUGGAAACUGGAUCUAAUACCGUAUACUAUCAUAAGUCCCUAGAUGGGAUUAGCUUGUUGGUGGGGUAACGGCUCACCAAGGCGACGAUCCCUAGCUGGUCUGAGAGGAUGACCAGCCACACUGGGACUGAGACACGGUCCAGACUCCUACGGGAGGCAGCAGUGGGGAAUAUUGCACAAUGGGCGCAAGCCUGAUGCAGCCAUGCCGCGUGUAUGAAGAAGGCCUUCGGGUUGUAAAGUACUUUCAGCGGGGAGGCGUUACCCGCAGAAGAAGCACCGGCUAACUCCGUGCCAGCAGCCGCGGUAAUAC
rnacentral:rRNA from 1 species